GGGUGAGUAAAUGCUCUAGGAAAUCUGCCCGUGGUGUGGGGGAUAACCAUUGAGAAACGAUGGUCUAAUACCGCAUAAUACCCUUCGGGUCAAAGAGGGGGACCUUCGGGCCUCUCCGCGUCAGGAAUAUGCCUAGGUGGGAUUAGCUAGUUGGUGAGGUAAUGGCUCACCAAGGCGACGAUCCCUAGCUGGUCUGAGAGGAUGAUCAGCCACACUGGAACUGAGACACGGUCCAGACUCCUACGGGAGGCAGCAGUGGGGAAUAUUGCACAAUGGGCGCAAGCCUGAUGCAGCCAUGCCGCGUGUGUGAAGAAGGCCUUCGGGUUGUAAAGCACUUUCAGUUCGUGACGAAGGUAGCUGUAGUUAAUAGCUGCAUCAUUUGACGUUAGCGACAGAAGAAGCACCGGCUAACUCCGUGCCAGCAGCCGCGGUAAUACGGAGGGUGCGAGCGUUAAUCGGAAUUACUGGGCGUAAAGCGCAUGCAGGUGGUUUGUUAAGUCAGAUGUGAAAGCCCGGGGCUCAACCUCGGAAUAGCAUUUGAAACUGGCAGACUAGAGUACUGUAGAGGGGGGUAGAAUUUCAGGUGUAGCGGUGAAAUGCGUAGAGAUCUGAAGGAAUACCGGUGGCGAAGGCGGCCCCCUGGACAGAUACUGACACUCAGAUGCGAAAGCGUGGGGAGCAAACAGGAUUAGAUACCCUGGUAGUCCACGCCGUAAACGAUGUCUACUUGGAGGUUGUGGCCUUGAGCCGUGGCUUUCGGAGCUAACGCGUUAAGUAGACCGCCUGGGGAGUACGGUCGCAAGAUUAAAACUCAAAUGAAUUGACGGGGGCCCGCACAAGCGGUGGAGCAUGUGGUUUAAUUCGAUGCAACGCGAAGAACCUUACCUACUCUUGACAUCCAGAGAACUUUCCAGAGAUGGAUUGGUGCCUUCGGGAACUCUGAGACAGGUGCUGCAUGGCUGUCGUCAGCUCGUGUUGUGAAAUGUUGGGUUAAGUCCCGCAACGAGCGCAACCCUUAUCCUUGUUUGCCAGCACUUCGGGUGGGAACUCCAGGGAGACUGCCGGUGAUAAACCGGAGGAAGGUGGGGACGACGUCAAGUCAUCAUGGCCCUUACGAGUAGGGCUACACACGUGCUACAAUGGCGCAUACAGAGGGCGGCCAACUUGCGAGAAGUGAGCGAAUCCCAAAAAGUGCGUCGUAGUCCGGAUCGGAGUCUCGCAACUCGACUCCGUGAAGUCGGAAUCGCUAGUAAAUCGU
rnacentral:rRNA from 1 species